GAUGAACGCUGGCGGCGUGCCUAAUACAUGCAAGUCGAGCGAACGGACGGGAAGCUUGCUUCUCUGAUGUUAGCGGCGGACGGGUGAGUAACACGUGGAUAACCUACCUAUAAGACUGGGAUAACGUCGGGAAACCGGAGCUAAUACCGGAUGAUAUUUUGAACCGCAUGGUUCAAAAGUGAAAGACGGUCUUGCUGUCACUUAUAGAUGGAUCCGCGCUGCAUUAGCUAGUUGGUAAGGUAACGGCUUACCAAGGCAACGAUGCAUAGCCGACCUGAGAGGGUGAUCGGCCACACUGGAACUGAGACACGGUCCAGACUCCUACGGGAGGCAGCAGUAGGGAAUCUUCCGCAAUGGGCGAAAGCCUGACGGAGCAACGCCGCGUGAGUGAUGAAGGUCUUCGGAUCGUAAAACUCUGUUAUUAGGGAAGAACAUAUGUGUAAGUAACUGUGCACAUCUUGACGGUACCUAAUCAGAAAGCCACGGCUAACUACGUG
rnacentral:rRNA from 1 species